UUACGAUAACACUAUCAUUUAUUAUUCCUAUAAAAGAAAAAAGAUUUAUAUAGUUUCCAUUCUAUUCGAGCAGUACUUCCGACAUUUGUGAACAGAAAACGACUUUGCUUUCAGAAGACAUUGUUGAACCAUCAUCAAACAAUAUUUUAUUUCGAUAUUUUCAAUCAUUUUUUUUUAUGAAAAUAACAAUUAUUCUGUCAUACAGAUCUAUCAUUUUUUUAUAUUAAUUCAUAUUGUUUAAAUUUAUUGAUGCGCGAUUGUUUUUUUAUUAAGAAAAACGAACAAAAUACACUUCAGCACGUGGCGCAUCUGUGCUUGUUACAAUGAAUAAGAUUUUAUAAUUAUUUAUUCGUGUAUUACACAUUGUAUUGUGUAAAUCUACAAUUAUUGUAGAAACAAUUAUCGAGCUUCAAAACAAAAAUUAAAUUAAUAAACAAUAAGAUGAUUAAGUAAAAAUAGAACGAAAAUUAUCGAUUCUUAAUAAUCGAAAUUAUAAUUCACGAUUAUCGAUACAUUUAAAGUUGCUGACGUAAUUAAUGACUAUUAUAUUUUCUAUUGUAUUGGCAUUAGGUCAUGAACUUAUAAAAAGCAUGCUACCUCGGUCGAUACAUAAUUCCAGUAGACGUCGGAAUGUGGCGUCCCCUAUUGAUGUGUCAUGACUUGCUAUUAAAAAACAUUUUCCGUAGGUUGCAAUACAUGUAUUAUUUAUCGUGACUAUCGUUUUAUAUCUAUUAGAAAUUACAAAUAAUAUACGAUGUUUAUAACGUUUUAUAUCUCUUUUUAUUUAAUAUUAUUCCUCGUUAUAAGUAUAAAUUAUAAAAAAAAUAACUCCUUAUGCUUCUAAUAUUAUGAAGUGAUAAAAAUUAGGGUUAUGUACGAAAAAUAAAAUUCAAACGUAAUCGAAUUAUUUGAUCAGAACAAAAAAUAUUAUUAUUUGAAAAGAGAAAUGUUUUUCUUAAAAAUGAAUAAAUACCAACGUUUCUUGAACGUUAUUCUAAAAAAAUUCCAUUCCCGCGGAUGCUCAUAUACGUGCGUGAAGGAGGAUAAUCAGUGAACACACAUUCCGAACACCUUUAUUGUGGGAAACUAACGUCGUCACGUACCGUGUCGAGUCUAUGUGUGUAUGUAUGUAUAUUUCCGAAUCCUUAAAGACGUUCAUCGUCGAAACGAGCCUUUGUCGAAAUAAAUUAUUCUAUUCUCGGUAAAUAUUGGUUACAUUGUUCCAGGAAUCUUUAUAAAAGUAACAAAAAUGGCGGGAAAAAUCAAAAGAUGAAAAUAAUUUCAAAUUAAUUCGUCGAUGAAAUAUAUAUAUGAACUAAUUAAAUUUACAUAUUACAUAUGUAUACAUAUACACAUACACGAAUGAUUUUGAAAAAUGGAAUUCUUCUAUCUCUUUUAACGUAUUUAUGUCACGCAUUGACAACACUUAGAACAAUAAUAAUUAUAGAUGCUUCAACCGUAGGUUCACGUGCGAAGGGAAUACAGAAAAGUUCGAAGUAACGAUAGAAACGUUUUCUUUUGGUAUCCAAUUGUUAACUCGGUGUCACUUACCUUUCUCUCUCUCUCUCUUUCUCUCUCUCUCUUCGUAAAACCUUUUCUCAUUGUAAUACAAAUAGCUGAAGUUUUCCAAUAUCAUUUGACUUCCAACGAAAUGGGAAAAAUCGAAAAAAAGAAUUGAUUUAUUUAUGUUGGUAAUUAUAUUACACAUCGCUAAAUGUUUCAAUAUUAAUUUAGAUUAUGUUAUAUUAUUUAAUUACAUCUACUGAUCAUAAUUAUUUUAUUGAAUAAAUAUCUCUGAAUAUUUCUAUUUUUUUCUUUUUCUUUCUGUUAUAUUCAUUUUAGGUUAUGUUACAUUACUUAGUUAUAACUAUUGAUUAUUCUAUAAAAUAUGUUUUUCGAAAUAUUUCAAUCUUCAUUUAGAUUACGUUACAUUAUUUAGUUACAAUUAAUUUUUUAAUUAUCCUAUCAAUUAUAUAUCUAAUUUAAUUAUUUUGUUUGUUAUAAUAAAAGCAUAUAUACUAAGAUUCUUAAAUACUUUAUAACCUCAAAAAAAGAAGAAAGAAAACAUCGUAAUCAUAAAUUCUCACAAUCGAAUUUCUUCGAACGUUCUGAGAAUUUUCGGUUGGAGUGUGCUAUCACGGCGAUGUUCAGGAUGUCAGGUGUAACAACGUUCGCAGUCUCGGUACUUUAAUUUCACUGAAGCGUAGAGGCACGUAAGGGGGAAGGAAGAUCGGUGAAGUUGAUAUGGCGAGGAGCUUAACUCCGGUAACCUAGCUUUAUGAUGUCGAACAAAACUCAUACAGCUAGAUAACCAAAGAAAAUGUCCGCACCAGGAUCUUCUCAUCCUUUGGGUGUCAUCAGAAAAAUAUAUUUUUUUUUUUCUUCUUUCUUCCUCAAAAAUAUAAUCAAACUAAAUCAACUUUCAUAUUAUUUGCGUUAUAAUAAUUAAUAUCGUUUUCUUUUUUUUUUAUCUUUUCAUUAACUAAACUCGAUAAUAUUAUUUUACGAUAGAUAAAUUUUAUUUAAUAUUUUCGUAUCGUUUGUACCGGUUUCGAUAAGUUCUAUUCAAUAUAAAUUAUUUUCAUAUGUUGUCAUUAUCGAUGACUCGUCAAUUUUGCAUCGGAAUAAGUGACAGCUUCUCUUCCGCGUCGUAGGCAAAUAAAAAAUAUUUUCGUAUUGUAUUCGAAUUCUUUUCUUCGUUCUUCUCUUUUUCUUUUUUUCUUUCUUUCUGCAACAGAAAAGGAAAUAGAUAAGAGAGAAAUUGUAAAUCGUUUUAUAACAAUUGUUCCUUUGUCGUACUGCAUGAAUUGAUUGAUAUGCACGUCGGGUGUCUGUGAAAAGUGAAACACAGUCGUUGACAUUUCAGAGUGAAAGUUAAUCCGUGGCUUAGAGAGAGGAGAGAGAGAGAGAGAGAGAGAGAGGAGAGAGAGAGAAAGAGAGAGAGAGGAGAGAGAGAGAGACAAGGUCCAAGCCGGUAUAAUCUCAUAAACUAGUAUAUGAGAACUGUUACACGAGAUAAAUUUUUAGGCUACAAAAAUAAUUUUUCAUUGAGAAACGGAAGAAAUCGAAAAAAAAAAGUAGUGAUAUUUACUAAAACGCAAUAUAAAAUUUAGUAGAAAUUUCACUUUGCAAAUUACUGCAAACAUUUAUGCUAAUUAAUUAAUUAAUUAAUUAAUUAAUAUUUUAAAAGUUAUGUUAAGCAAGACGAAUAAUAAUAUGAGUUGAGCAGAAUCGUUAUUUUAAUAACAUAUUGUUACGAAACUUGUUAGUGGAAGUUAAUUAAUGAGUACAAUUAGACGAUGUAAUUAUUUCUCUUAGAAGGAGCUUAUAUCUUUUCAAGUAUCAUCUAUAAUUCCACGUUAAAAUGAAUGUAUUCAAAUUAUCGGAAAAUGCGUCACUUUAGAUAUGGCGCCAAUUGAUUCCUGGAACAGAAUAUGCAAUAUAAGCAUGAGUAACGACAAAGUGUAUUCUUUUUCCUAAGAUUAAUUGCUUUAUAAAUUUAAAAACAAACAAAAAAAUUAAGAUAAUAAAAAAAAAAAUGAAAAAAAAAAUGAAAAAAAAAAAAAGAAGAAAAAAUAUCAAACAUUCCUUUAAAGUUACAAACUAAUUUACUCAUAACAUCUAACUUGACGAAGUAUAAUUAUCGAUUAAUGAUAUUUUCGUAACACAGAUUAAAAAAUUUCUUCUCUUAGUAGAGUGGGUCGAGUCGAUUGUAAACCAGUAUAAGAGUUUCGUAAGAACCUCCAUUUGGAGAAAGUUAUGAUCUGGCCAUAUUGCUCGCGCGUGUCCGGAUCUUAUUUUAUUUUCCAAUCCACUCGCUCUCUCGCUCUCUCUCUCUCUCUCUCUCUCUCUCUCUCACUCACUCACACACACACAUCAAAAACUUUCUGUUUUCGAAAGGAACACGCUCGAUUUUUUAAGAUCGUUAUAGAAAAUUAACAAACGUAUAAGAACUAGGUACGCGGACACGAGGAAGCUCACGAAACGACGUUCUGGUCUCUUUUUCUUAUUGACACGCCGGCCAUCUUAUCCAAACCGUGAAAUCGUACGCGUCACGUACCUACGGUAAAUACAGGUAAAAUUUCGUGGCAAGUUUCUGUGUCAGGAACGCACCGUGGGUUCGCUCGCCCUACCGUGAACCCGUAAACUAUAAAGCUGAAACGCAUUCACUGGCAGAACGGAGAUCGUACGUGAUAUUAACAGGGUCGAAGCGGAGAAAUAAAUGAGCGUGUAUGUAUGGAUGUACGUAUGUAAUAGUCAGGACCGUAGCGAAACGGUUGGCUUUGUCCAUCCUGUUUGAGUGAGGUUCCUCCUUACUUUCAUGAGAAAACGUAGGAAGAUAUUACGAAUAGUUAGGUGUAUAUAUAUAUAUAUAUAGUACAUGUAUCAUGCCCUAAGUGUGUGAAUUUUCGAUGUAUACACAUAAAUAAAUAAAUUGAUAUGUAAGUUGAUGCAUUGAUUAGCGUUAUGGACGAAUAAACUUAUACAUAAUACGAACGUGACUUAAAAUAUGUUCAUAAACUAUAUAACCGACUUGCAAAUUAGUCGUGGAUUAGAACUCGACGAUGACUAAUAGUCAUCUGAGAAAAUGUUAAACGUUCACAUUUUUUGUAUCGAAUUUUUUUUUCUUUCUUUUUCUUCUUUUUUUAUAUUGUUUUUUUUUGCAAAAUUUUUUAUUUUGAAAAUUUUGUGUGAUCAUAGAAAAGAAAAAAUUAAAGCAAUUAACAACGACAUUCUUAAGAUUUAAGAAGAAUUGAGUAUAACGAAAGAAAAAAAUGAAAAAGAAAAAAUGAAAAAUAAAAAAAAGAAAAAGGAAAGGAAAAAAAGGUUUCAAGAUCAAACCGAGAGUGCGAACGUUGUGCUAAGUCGGCAAAAACAGCAUGGAAUCAAUGUCGAGAUAACGAGAAUACUAUAUUUCACCGUUCUUAGUACAGGAUUCUCAUCUAAAUCAGUUAAUGUUUAUUCGUUCGAAAACUUAACUUAAAAGUUGAAAGGAACAAACAAACCAAAAUAACUAUGGAUAAAGAAUAGUUCAAAGUUAAAGAUAUAUCGGUUGGAUAUAAAAUACGCGGACUAAUUUAAUCUUUUAUCACGCAAGGAAUCGUCGAGUCGCAUCUUUUAUCUUGUAGAAAAAUGUUAACGGAAAUUUCUAAUCUCGAUCGAUAACGAUAACCAUUCAAUCUGAUAUUUCGUUGGAGGUUGAAAUUUUCGUACUUUUUCUCUUUCCUAUCUUUUUUGAAAAUUUAAUUGAUUAUCGAUAAAAACAUUAAAG